rnacentral:rRNA from 1 species
UACGUAGGGGGCAAGCGUUGUCCGGAUUUAUUGGGCGUAAAGAGCGUGUAGGCGGCCAUGCAGGUCCGUUGUGAAAACUCGAGGCUCAACCUCGAGACGCCGAUGGAAACCGCAUGGCUAGAGUCCGGAAGAGGAGAGUGGAAUUCCUGGUGUAGCGGUGAAAUGCGCAGAUAUCAGGAAGAACACCCGUGGCUAAGGCGGCUCUCUGGGACGGUACUGACGCUGAGGCACGAAAGCGUGGGGAGCAAACAGG